GCCAUGGAAUUAUCUAUGUAUCUCAGAAAGUUUUCUACUAUCUCUGGUUUCUUCUAGUGAAAACAGAAAAUGAUGUCACUUCAUGACUAUACAGUCAAAUGUUCUUGAUGAUGAUUGUAAUACCAUUAUUUCCGUCUCAUGGUCUGUGAAAAGGAUACAUGUACAUUCUCUCCUAUAUGUUAGGAAGGUUUGAGUCUCUUCAUUAUCUUCUCUUUGAUGUUCUCCUCUUAAUUAAAUGAAUGAGACCUGACAUCCUCCAGAAAGGAAAAGUAUUGGUCCUCUAGUAUCUCUUGUAUUGAAGAACCAGGAGACCACAUGUGGCCAACCUCUCUCUCGUCCCUCAAGAUCCCCUCGUCACCAUACAAGUGAGAGAUCAUGUGACUUUUGAUGAUAGUCAUGUGAUGUUGUGUAGGUAAGGAUGAGGAGUGGGUGGAGUGAGGGGAAGUGUGGUCAGAAAAGAAGUUGUGAUGAUGAAAGCUAUGCUACCUCCUGAAAGUUCCCUGUCAUGGACUGGUGAUAUAUUAUGUAGUGGUCAAUAUUACAGUGGGACCCACGUCUACCAGGACACUAUUAGACCACACCCAGGAGGUCUGUGAGAUUCACUGGUCACCAAGUCAUCAGCAACUUGUGUUAGGAGGAAAUGAUAAUAAAUAUAGCUGCAGCUAAUAUCAUAAGAUGAUUUCUGGUUUUUCCACUGUUGCUGCUGCAGUUGUCAUUCUAUUGUGCAUCACUGAUCAAUGCACAGCUCAAGAUACUGACUGCUCUGCUCUGGCCACUGAUGGUGACUGCAGUUUUUAUAAUUGCUUGGAUACUAAAUUCCGUUGCAAUGACAAGGACUAUCCUCUUCGCCGUGGUGAACCUGACUGUCAGAAAUACAUCAGUGAAUCGAAUUGCUUCACAAAAUCAGUAAAUAUACACUGAUUGCAUUGGUGUGUGCCCUACAACCUACUAUAUUAUAGUAUUCAACUUUAUUGAAAGUAACCUAGGGGUUAGUUGAUGUACUCUCAAAUAGAAUUUCAGGCAUCAGAGUUGUCGCUAGUAGAUAACAUUGGAGACAACUAUACAUAUAGUGGGUCAAGCAUGGCUUUCUAGGGUUCGUAGAUGUUUGAUGCAGGCUAUUGUCAACAGUCCUCUCUAUAAUGAUGAAAGUGCUACUUGUGACCAGUUGGCAACAUUUGCCAUUGCAAGUCGUUCUAAAUGUUACAUUGAUAAUGGGUUCUGUACAGCUAUAUUCUUAUCACCUCAAUGUCAGAACCUUAAUUGUAUUCGAAAUAGAAUUUAUCCUGGUACAAAAAGUUGGAGUAAGCAGUCAAUAGAUCAGAUUAUAAAGACAACUGAGUCUUGCCCUUCCCAGAUUUCUACAUUCCUUACUGAUGCUCAGCAGUGCAAUUUGGAUAGUCCAGACAGUGCUCUUCCAGCUGCUAUACAUGAUCAUUUAGAUUGUACUGCAAGGGCUUUUGAUUUUAUUAUUUUAUUGGAUGCAUCUGGAAGUGUUGGGGCUGAUAACUUUGAGAUAAUGAAAAACUUUGUUGCAAACAUGCUGUCUAACUUUACCAUUGGACCAGAUGACACUCGUGUUGGAGUCAUUAGUUUUGCUAGCAGUCCAUCAAUUGUUAUCCCAUUGGGUUCCAUUAAUACUUAUUCACCAAUUGGCUACUGCUGUUAGAGGUAUAACAUACACUGAAGGAGGUACAAAUACUGCUGCAGCAUUGGAUUUACUAAGUACAGCAUUUGCUAC
rnacentral:misc_RNA from 1 species